GGCGGGGCGCCCCCGGCCGGGCACCCGGCGCUGCUCCUCGGGCCCGAGGGAUCCCGGGCAGCCGCGCGCCGGGGCCCGGGGCGGAGUGCUCGCGGGUGUGUCCAUUCGUCCAUCCGCCGCCCCCGCCCGCCCCCUGCGGUGGCUCCCGGCUUGCCCAGCUCGGCGGCCGCGCCCGGCAGAUGCGCGGCGCUGGGUCCCGGCCUCCUGCGCCCCGGGCCUCCCGGCCCCGCCGGCCCCGGGUUGGCGGACGGGACCGAGGCGAGCUCCCCGGCCGCGCUCAACACCUGAGGAAACUGGCGGAAAAGUUUGAGAACGAAAAGUCCAAUCGUCUUUCAGCUUCCGCCCUCCCUAUGACACUCCAGCCACGGUCUUUUCCCUUGGAGAAGACACAGUGGAGGCUGAUUUGGCCACACAGAGGGCUGGUGUGGAAGAGGAAAGCCAUGUCUCUGAUUACUGAAUGCACAGGUCACUAGGAAGAGUGGACCUCUCAUCAGAAACCCUCAGGUCUGAGAGGACAUCUGUUUCCAGGAGAGCAGUGGGUAUAAAUAGAGCAGGAGCCAGCCUCGCUGCUGGGCGGGUUUUGUGUUUGCUGUUUUGUUUUUCUAACAUUCUGCUCCGCUAAAAUCACCCUCAUUUGGCAUCAAAAGCAUGAAUAAAUCCUACAUAAGUCACUGUCCCUCCA
rnacentral:lncRNA from 1 species